ensembl:lncRNA
CCCGAUUUGCUGGGCCACCUAGGGCCGCUCCCCGCUGGAGGACGGGAACUGAAGCAGCAGCUGGGUCACGAGGCCCCACCCGUGGAGUGGGGUUGCCUCAGCUGGAGGGGACUGACGAGGCUCCUACUGCCUCCCCACGGCAAUCGUUUGACCCACUUCCUGCUACUAGGGCGGCGGGAAGGCCUGGGCCGGCCUGUUGGCGUUGCGGGGAUCCUUGCCAUUUCGUGGAUCGGUGCCCGGUCAUGGAGGUGGGGACAUUGGUCCGGAUCCCGGACGACCCACAGGCCGCCCCCGAUCAAGCUGGGUUGUAUCAAAUACCUCAUCACCACUUACCUUCGGCUCGAUUCCCUGCAGUUCCUGUGCCAUCCUCUCCUGCUGCCAACUCACCAUCACCAUCUGGAUUACUCACCGUCUCCCACCAUCUUAGAUUGUCGUCUUCCCAGCGUUGUUUGUAUUUUUGUUUGUUUGGUUUGGUUUUCAUUAAACCGUUUCAUACUCGCACUUGUUUCCAGCUUCUCCUUCACCCAGUCGUCACAUGUAGUUAAUUAUAAGACUUUAAUAAACCUAGGAAGAUUCUCUUCAAACUGCCUAGACAGAAGAUGACAGAAAAGGGGGGGAAAAAAAUAACAUAAAAAAGAAACAUAUGCUUAUUCCUUCUAUAGCACCCAUUGCAACAAUACUGAAAAUGUGUUUGUCACAAUAUCAACGCUGAUCCAAUUUGCAAAAUCGAAACAUAAUCCAGCAUUGAUUCAACCAUGGUACCUGACGUUGAUUCACUGGUGUGAAUCACACAACAGUGUGCACAUUAAAGAACAUAGAUUCAGCCAGAUCAUUUCCAGAAUGACCAGUGCAAUCUACCAAGAGCAGCGCAAAUUACCACUUGCUUUAUGACAUGUUUUUUGGUGCGUUAAAUCAUGGCACAAAUACCAUUAAUUUGACAAGUGCAAAUGUUUGUAAACCGCGUUCCAUUUAAUACAUUUUAAUACUCUCCUACCAUAAAUUUUGUAUCUGAAAGGGAAACUCCUACAAAUGCAUAUUCAGUAAGGUCAGGCGGAAAAAUAACUGUUUACUCCUUUUCAGUGCUAAUUCUUAACUGCACCUCUUUAUUAAAUCCUGACACUUCUAUUUUAACGCCAAAAGACGGUUUGCGCUAGCGCAAGCUGUUAGUAAUUCUGGCUCAUAGUGUAUCUGUUGAUGAGAGUCAAUUUGUCUUAAGCCAUUUCACAGACAAUGAGUGGAAAGAGAAUUUAAGAAUGGAACAAGAGUCAUUUAUGACACUUACUGUAUGGUUCAACAGCAACAGCCCAUUCUGUGAAUCACACAUCAUGAUAUUUUUAUGUCAUUACAAAUGCACGACUCUCCAGUUUUGGUUUUCAGUCUGAUCAAGUAUUUAAAUGUGCCAUUGAAUGGUUUAGAAAAGGUAUAAACCACUCCUUACAUUCU